rnacentral:rRNA from 13 species
UGAAAUGUUUGUGAUGAUGCAAUCUCCCCGCGGAAAGACGGAAAGACCCCAUGAACCUUUACUGUAGCUUUACAUUGGACUUUGAACAGAUCUGUGUAGGAUAGGUGGGAGGCUUUGAAACCUGGUCGCUAGAUCAGGUGGAGCCAACGUUGAAAUACCACCCUGGUGUGUUUGAGGUUCUAACCUUGGCCCGUUAUCCGGGUUGGGGACAGUGUAUGGUGGGCAGUUUGACUGGGGCGGUCUCCUCCCAAAGUGUAACGGAGGAGUUCGAAGGUACGCUAAAUACGGUCGGAAAUCGUGUUGAUAGUGCAUUGGCAUAAGCGUGCUUGACUGCGAGACUGACAAGUCGAGCAGGUACGAAAG